AUGUUUUCCUUACUUGGGGCAAUAUUAUGGUUUCCACUAAAACAUUUGCCCUCUGUUUAUAAAAACGCGGCAGAAAAGGAGGCAGAAGGGACUCUUCACCAUGAUUUUCCAGCUACUGUUGUGGCUCUUAUUAUCAGCGGUGGACUGGAAAUUCCACCAGCACAGGUGGUGACUCUGAUCUUGCCCAGAAAAAGAGCCCCGUCUCCCUCAUGCACAUGGCCUGAGGACAUCUGCUUCUUGUCACUAGACUGCCCCAGAGUAUCCAAGCAGCACCUCCAUCUCACUGGAAAGGCCUGCACAAGAAAGGAGAAGUUUGGAAGAUGAGACUGAGCUGACACCAUCCUGAGUGGCCUUCUCCAAGCAUCUGCUGUGUGAGGUGGGGUUCCCUGAAGGCCACCCAAUGAAACCACCAUCUGCACGGUGCUUCCGGGCCCUUUGGGGCACUAGGGAUAUUUCCUUAUCAGCCUGGCUCUGAGAACAGAGUUCCAUGGACUGUUAAUACAUUUCAUAUUAAGAAGAAAAGAAAAAAAAGUUCCAUGGACUAAUAAAUUUAGAGAAUACUGGGUCA
rnacentral:lncRNA from 1 species